ACAGAUAUUCCUCUUUAAUGGCCUAUAAGUUACCUGUGGAGGAUGUCCACCCUCUGUUUCAGGCCUUUUUGAAUUAGAGCCAGUGUUACACCUUCAA